rnacentral:misc_RNA from 1 species
GGGGUACUUCAGAAACUCAAAUCUCAUUCCUUUGAUAUGUAUCGCUGCAGUUUUUUUUUUUAAACCUUGUGCAAACUUAUUCCUCAGCUCAAGCUUCAUGAAUAUUCUUUUUUUUUUUUGUUGAAGAUUUGAGCCGAGCCUGGUGUUUUAUUACUGUUUAUACUCUUUUUACCCUGUGGUGUUGAAUCUUGUCAGUAGGAGAUGGAAAAUAGGAUUUGCCAUCUUGAGUUUUGCCUUUAUCGUGUUCUCCUAUUUUUAUUAGUGGCUAGUAGUUUUGAAAACCAAAGUUUUCUGAUGCUAUUUGGUGCGCAUGUUUGCAUUUGAAUUGAAAUUUUUUGUUAAUUUACUUGCAUCUCUUAUAAUUUUGAGUAACCAUGUUAAGUUCUGAACAAUCCUGACUUGCGAAAUAAUAUUAAUAUGUAUUUAGGACGAUAUAAGUUCAUUGUUGAAGCUAUUUUAGAUGCGCAGACUAUGUUUUGCAUGUAGAGUGGGACUUUUUUUCUGAAUGAACUACAAAUUUGAGAACUGGAUUCGGAUUGUUAUUUUAAUUGCUGAGUUUGACAGCCUUUUCAGUCUCUUAAAUCUAUUCUUUUGUUUUUAAGGAUUCGUUUAGCAUAUGUUUUUCAAUCAUACACUGCAAUUUUCAACCUUCUGAAUCUUCAAAUCAACUUAAGUUCCAAAUAUUGAAUCUCUAUAUUUGUCAUUGGUAAAUCUAAAUGGCAGAUUGUUGCCACUCUGUUGAAAAAAUUUCCUCAAAUAACUUUAUCCUAUAUUCAUAUGAAAAAUAUAAAGACAAAUCUGCAAAUAUGCUAGUAAUAUUUAUUCAGCAAAACCCCUUUUGGCGCUAGCAUAUACACAAUCUGUCUUCUGGAUGUUUUCAUGAUAGCUAGUCAUAGCUCUCUUAUGAUCAAUCAUGUGUUUUUCUGCGCCAGUACUAAAAUCUGUUUAUUUUUUUCGGGUAAUUGGUAUUGGUUUUAUCAGGAGUGGCUUUGUUUCUCUUUGAAUAACAUGAUAAUCCUUUAGAUCUGUUGAGGGUCAAAAGACUGAAUUGUUUGUUUAUAUUUUGUAAAAUGUGUCUGAAUGACCUUUCUUUAUUUUGUAAUUCAAAAGACUGAAU